AACAAUAACAUUUCUCUAUAUCUCGUACAAUAAUAACAUCAUUUAUAAUACAUUUGUCAAGCAACCAAUUAGCAGAAGAACAAUAACAUUUCUCUCUAUCUUCAAUUCCACAUAUGUGAUAAUUAAUAUAUUGCCUUGUAUGGAUGGCUUCACUCAAAACAAUACAUAUGCCUUCUGUUUAUUUGCCUGACAAAUGACCAUCAGAUGAAUCAAUCAAAUAGGGGGAAUUGGGGAGCAUUUCAAACCAAAACAAAGAAUUGAUCCUAACUACUAAAGUGCAGCAGCUUUAAAGCCUCUGAAUUAUUUUGCUCUUACUCCACCAGGAAAGUGCAGGCCUUCAAGAACCAAAAGAUUUAAGAGUGGAACUAAAAGAACAGCAUUCAAAUCCUCGUAAGCCAUGUUGUUUAUAUCCUUAAACCCAACAAAUGAUUGUGGAAUAAUAACCUUGAUCUUAUUCAACUCCUCAGCUAAAUUUCGUCUUCUUCCCUUCAUCCUCAGAUCUGCACACGUCAAGUACACUUCGAAUUGAACAAUACCAUGCAUUGAUUUCAGUUUAAGCUGUCCAUAUAAGUAAAGCAGCAGGUCAGUCACAAGAACCGAAUAAAGAGAUACUAUCCAACUAAUAUAUAAACGAUGAAUCAUGAAGAGAUAGUACAAUUUCUCCUCGCACACACAAAAAUAAAAAAUCCUAAAAUAACUUAGCUACAGAUUAUGAAGCAAGUAGGCCCUUAGAUUCACACAAUUUUAACAUCAUGCACAUGUUAAAUGGUAUACUCAUCACUGUACAGAGUAUGUUGAGAUUAGAAAUAAAAAUAGCAGAGCAAGGCAUUAGAUUGCAGAGAUUAACAAUGGAAACAUCGUAACAAAUACAACAUUUGUAGGGUGGAGGAGGAGCUCACCUAGAGCUUAGGCCCUCUGCCCGCCAUAUAGGCAAAGGAGAUGCGUCUUGACAGCACUCUGAAUAAAAUGUAUGGCUACGAGCAAAGGAAAGGUCUACGGAGUGAGGACAAGCAGAGAGCACGAGCAAGGGAUCAGACAUGCAGUAAAUUCCUGCACAAAAGACAGACUUUCGACCCAGUUUCUAUGCUCCAUGUACUACCCUGCAAACCAGAAUGAAAAUCACCAUAUACAUUUUCAUUGCAGCAACAUGUAACCCGUUAAUAAACAGAGACCACUUUCUGUACAUCCACAUAUACCCACUAAAACACAAAGAGAACUGUUGUGCUUGUUCCAUUACUGUCUGCGUGUGUCCACAUACACUUAUUAGAAUAAACGGAGAAUACUAAGAGGCAGCAAGAGUAUAGUAUCGCUCGUGAAGAACUAACCAAUGUUCAGAAAGAGGUGACUACAGAAUUGAUAGGGCAAUAGUAGCUACACCUGGGACUCCACCCCAACACCUCUCCUCAUGAAUGACCUUAACCUAUCGAUAUCAUUAAAAUUGAUUUUAAAAGUAGAUGGGAGUAAGGCCAGAAAAGAUCACUUAGUUCAAAACCGCACGUUGUGUUAGAUCCUCAGAAUUAUCUUGGACAACUAGAUCUUAACUUGCAGCUACAAUCAGUGUGAAUGUAAGCACAGUGCAGUGAAUGUAGUAGAUAUAUUCAGACGACACUAUCAGUAGCAUAGAAAUUAGUGAACUGGUUAAUUCUUAGUAUAAAUGAAAAUGAUUGAGCCUCUCAAAGCUUGUUCGUAUCAUUAUUGGGUCAUGCUUACAUUUACUUAUCCACAGUACUAUCCACAGUACUAAACAAGCAGUACUUGCGUAGAAAAGGCAAGUUACCUUGGAGAAUUAACAUUUGAUUGAUUUGUUCUUCAAAAGGUAUACCUACACAUAUCGUACAGAGGCGUUUAGGCUACACAAAUCUUGCAUAGAAGAUGGGUAGGAGAGAGAGAGAUCAUGAGCGAAGGGGAAAUAAGGAUUGGGGAAGCUCACCCUGAUAUGCGCCCCUCCCCAAACUCUGCCGGAGGUCGCCCAUCCCUGCCGCUGUUGCUCACCUCGUCCGGCUGGGUGGAAGAGGAAGCAGCUGCCCGAGCCCUCCUUCCUUGGAUCCACAUCGCAUCACCCCUCCCCUUCUCCUCAAUCCGCCUGAGAGAGUUUGGAACUCACGUAGGCCUCGCACACGCCUCCCGCACGCCUCGCGCUUUGAAGACCUGGCCGUGCAUGCGGGAGGCCCCUGUCCGAGGACAAGGGCGAGAGGCGCCAGCGGGAAGGAGGAAGCGAGAGAAGGGAUGCGGCGGCCGGCGGCUAUCAAGACGAGCAGGAAGGAGGGAGGGGAUGCGGCGCCUAUGAUGUCGAGCGAGGGAGAAAGGAGAGGUGUGGCGGCUAGGGUUGGUGCGGAUGUGUGCUUUGGCGCAGCAACCCCUCGACAUGGACUGGGAGCGGAGCGCGCGCGGGGAUAGGGCAAAAGUCUUUUCCAUGCCAGAUCAAUCAACCCAGCCAACAAACACGCGGCGCGAGCCCACCAGUCACUGGACUGCUAAAACUGAUCGCGAGGUGAAAUUAGAUUUGGCAACAGGUAAAGAUCGCACACACAAAAAUAAAAAAAUCCUAAAAUAACUUAGCUACAGAUUAUGAAGCAAGUAGGCCCUUAGAUUCACACAAUUUUAGCAUCAUGCACAUGUUAAAUGGUAUACUCAUCACUGUACAGAGUACAUAAAUCACAUCAACUACCAAUUUAAACGAAAAUAGCCAAAAAAAAAACUAAAUAGGAAAACUAACACAAUGCAGACCAUGAUUUACUUGAUAUUAGAACAAAUCAUACAGAUUCAAUCUUUGCUCAAUGAAAACUGAGGAAGAACUCUAUAACUAUCCUAAUCUGCAAUGAUCAUUGCAUGAUAUCAAUAUUCCUCUUUUACAUAACUAAAUUUCGACAACCAUGUAAGCUCUAAACAUUGUUUUUGAUUAAAAGGACAAAAGAAUAAACAAAUGGAAUAAGUCUCACUGGGUAAUUUGGAACUGGUCAUAGAUUAUGCUAGUAUGACCUCUUUUAAUAGUCUUUUGUAAUCUCAUGCUUUACUCACGAAUUUUUUUAUAAACACUGAAACAUCACUCCGCAUUGAAAUCUCUAAACACCAGUACAUCUAACUAAUCGAGCAAGUAGCAGUCCUGCACUGAAACACCUUGAUGAGGACAUGACUACCUUGAAUACGACCAAAAAUAUUGCAUACAUGCAUAUUUAUCAGGUGAUUUCGUGCAAACUAUUCAAUAAUCUAUUUAUGUUAUCCAGAACAAAAAUACUUCACACACUUUUGUGUUUUGUCUAAUUGCAAGUGUAUGUGACAUUUGUACAAUUCACAUAUGAAGAUAAGGGAUAAAGAGAUGUUUACUUGCUGCUCAAAAAGUUCUCUCGCAUCACUUUUGGGCCAAUAGAAGAUAGAGUCCAAGUCUCUCACGUUCUGGAUUCAGAUUCGGACUGCACAGACAUACCUGACUCAAAACAUCAACAACUUUUUCAUACGGACUCCGAAUUGGGUGAUUCUUUUUUUGGUGGAAUCUAGAUUUUGUGCUCUUUCCAGACCAAUUGGAUUCACCUUCAAAUUUGUCCGGAGCAUUGAGAUAUCGACGAAACAAUCAUACACUGCAGCAGACUGCAGCAGAAUCCGAGUCAAACAACAAGUCCAAAGGUGUUGCAUCACCUCCACUUGGGCCCAUGAGCCUUGUACGACCUAGGGUUGGUUUUAGGAUGCCUUGGGACGUUCUCCCACCUUCUUGGCCGCCACCCCUUGCUCCUAUAUAAAUAGAUCCAUCUAGUAGCUUUUUCCUUGGGAUUUGUUUAGUUAAAAGUUAGCCAAUGCAACUUCGUGUAGUUCGUUUGUGUCCAACGACCAGACCAAGACCACUUUCGGAUCCCCACCAUUAUCAAUACUUCAUCAAUAUUCGCAGUAUCCUGAUUGCUUUAUCAUAUUCUUGCUUGUUCUUCGAUUGUUUGCAGGAAUAGACCUUCGUGGUCAGGUUGAUUGUGCUCCAGCAUGGUCAAUAACCUCUCGGAGUUGGUUUAGCGAUUGCUAAGGCGCAACGUCGUGCACGUUUGUAGUCGGAUUGUCAAAGUCAUCUUCACCAAAUCGAUAUUUAUCAUCUCAUCGAAAGAUCGGGACACCUCCGCCUCUAUCAAGUGGUAUCAGUUUUCAGGUUGCUCGGUGAGAAUUUCUAGUUUUUCCUAGAUUAGAUUUAGUUCUUACCUAUUGUCCAAGAAAAAGCCACAAAAAAAGUUAGAUCUGUUCAUCCUUUGUCCAAGCCAGUCUGAGCCUUUGCAAUUUUCUUUUCAUUGUUUGCAUUGUUGAAUUAUCGGUUGCAUCGUCGUAUCGUGUUGCUGGUCUUAGUGUCUAGUUCCUUUAGAGUUUCGAGUUCUGUUCACAUUAGUCACGUCGCCGUUGCAUCGUUAUCCCUUCCGCUGUCCACCACCAUCCAUCAAUUUCCACCACGUGCUACCCUACGUUCUUUGUCAUAAUCAUAGUUGAGACCGUUCACAUCUUCGCUUGAUCCAAUUUGCAUCUUAUCUAGUUUGUUUUGGAAAGAGGGAGAGAAAAAAAAGACAGAGAAAAAAAGAGAGAAAAAAAGUAAAAAAAAGACAAAGAAAAAAAAGAGAAAGAAAAAGAAAGAAAAGUGUGAGAAGAAAAAGAGAGAAGAGAAAAAACAAAAUUCGGAUCUAUCUAGACUCAAUCUCGUAGUUGAAUUCGGACUGGAAUCUAUUUUGUGCACUCUUCAGUAAAAAAGGCAUAACUUCCUCAUACGAACUCCGUUUGGCUCCACAAGUACUCAAAUUAAAGCUAGCGACUAGACGCAUCUGAAUAGUUGCAAAGUCUAGUUCAAUAUUUGGCGUCUCAAAAUCAGCUUCUAAAUAGGUCUUUUUGCCCUCCGAAGUUCGCUCAUACAGUUUGUUCCAGUUUUUCAGGCCAGUUUUAGAAUUCUUUGACUCCUCAUAUCAAUUCGCAAUUGAGUGAUUCUUUUUUAUUGGAAAGCUUGAAUUAGUAGCAAACAUUUCAAGAGGAAAGUUGGAGAGAGAGUUGUUAUAUAUCCUGCUUGGCAGUUGUUAUUCAUCAUUAUCUUUACUGUCGUUGUGAUCUUCACUUAUAUCUUACUGUCCAGAGCUUCUUAUCCUUCAUUGAUGCUAGUUGUGCCAUGCCGUGACCUCAUUAGUGUUCUAGGCUCGCGUCUCUAGUCCGGUCUAGCCUAGGACCAUCACAGUAUCGUCGUUGAGCGUUUAUUCAACAUUGCAUCUUUGAAUUGAUUAUUGAUAAUCUUUUGCUACCAUAUAUAGCCAACCCAGCUCCACAUAUUUCUACACCGUGUAUAUGUAUGUUCCCCUGGCAAUCGCUUUACACAAUCUUCGGAGUUAUUUGACACCGCUGGUUGCCUGUCACCACCUGUCGCAUGGUAAGAACUUGUAAGAUAUUGAUAUUUGCUUUACUGUGAGCACGUUACAACCACAUCCUAGUAGUUCAUAGGAACAUUAUUCUCGAAUUUUGUUUCUUGUUUCUACUAAUCAUGACAGGUUCCGGAGAAAGAAGUUCUUGGACGACGAACACAUCUUCACCAUCACGAGAGUUGGGACAACACACACAAGCACAUGGUUAGGUUAUCUCUUUACCAUCAUUUGAGGGUAGAUUUAAUCAUGCUAUUUAUCUAGCUUGGGAGCUUGAAGUAGAACAAGUUUUUAGUUAUCAUGACUUUUCUGAACUUGAGCGAGUAUGAGCUGCCACUAGAGCAUUUACUGGUUUUACUUCUGUUUGGUGGAGUGUGCAUUGUAAGAAAAACAUUGAUAACCAACCCACAACUUGAAAAGAUUUGAAACAUGUAAUGAGACAACAAUUUUUCCCUCCUUACUAUCGUCGUGAAUUGCUUCGCAAAUUUGAACAAUUUAAACAAGGCAAUAACAUUGUUCAUGCUUACUACCAAGAGUUCAAAUCUUAUAUGCAUCAUUGUGACAUAGAAGAAUCUGAGGAUGAUACAAUGAAUAGAUUUUUUGGUGGUUUGAACCAUGAUAUUCAGGCAAGAUUUAGGUAUAUUCCUCGUUGCAUUACUGGUAUGUAUGUUCGUGCUUGUACCUUUGAGAGACAGUUACAGGAGGAUGCAUUGGGUGACUACAACAACUACUAUUCCAAUUCAUGCUCACUAGCAUCGGUUGAUUCCUCCACCGUUGCACCUACUAGAGCAGCCACACCUCAAAUUGUGAGUGCGACAUCAUCUCAAGUGUAUGGUACAUUGUCAUUGUCCAUACCGACAUCAGCUACGUCUUUGCGACAAGGUAACAGUAAAGGUAUUGAUGAUAUAACUUAACAUGAGAAUGAUACAUCCCUAAUUAACUUAAAUACAUCAUGUGUUGAGUUACCUAUAGAUUUGAGCACGCCACCUAUUUUAGAGAAUCAUGUUACUAUCAUGAAUGCAUCAUGUGAUCAAACAACUAAAAUACCAACAAUUUUGAGUGCACCCAUUGAAUUAACUAUUGAUGCAAAAGAACCAAUGUUUAAUCAUUUUGAUAUGACCUCUAAUCUUGGUGAUAAUUCUUUGUCCAAUGACUUACUGCAUGUUUGCUUAUUUGAGCAUGUUGUAGCAUGUAAAUUUGAUGCAAGUAAGGUUUAUUCACCAAUGUUGGGAUGGUUUAAUGAUGAAUAUUGUCAAUCUUUUGAUAGGAAUAAGAGCUUCACUUAUAUGUGCAAAUUGAGUUGCAAUAUUUUCAUGCCUUCUACUUAUGAUAAUAUUUUGGCAUUAUAUUUUAUGAUCUAUGAAAGUAACUCAUGUAUACAUGUGUCAUAUGUGCAAAAAUCAAGGGAAGUAAAAAUGACAUAUACAUAUACAACAUGUAUACCUUGUCUCUUUUGUUAGCCACAUUUCAGAUUAAGCAACGCCGAGGACAGCUUUGUUUUCAAAAAGGGGAGGAUGAUGAGGACAUGACUACCUUGGAUACGACCAAAAAUAUUGCAUACAUGCAUAUUUAUCAGGUGAUUUUUAGUGCAAACUAUUCAAUAAUCUAUUUAUGUUAUCCAGAACAAAAAUACUUCACACACUUUUGUGUUUUGUCUAAUUGCAGGUGUAUGGGACAUUUGUACAAUUCACAUAUGAAGAUAAGGAAGAAAGAGAUGUUUACUUGCUGCUCAAAAAGUUCUCUCGCGUCACUUUUGGGCCAAAAGAAGAUAGAGUCCAAGUCUCUCAUGUUCUGGAUUCAGAUUCGGACUUCACAGACAUACCUGACUCAAAACGCCAAUAACUUUUUCAUACGGACUCCGAAUUGGGUGAUUCUUUUUUUGGUGGAAUCUAGAUUUUGUGCUCUUUUCAGCCCAAUUGGAUUCACCUUCAAAUUCGUUCGGAGCGUUGAGAUAUCGACGAAACAAUCAGACGCCGCAGCAGAAUCCGAGUCAAACAACAAGUCCAAAGGUGUUGCAUCACCUCCACUUGGGCCCAUGAGACUUGUACGACCUAGGGUUGGUUUUAGGAUGCCUUGGGAUGUUCUCCCACCUCCUUGGCUGCCACCCCUUGCUCCUAUAUAAAUAGAUCCAUCUAGUAGCUUUUUCCUUGGGAUUUGUUUAGUUAAAAGUUAGCCAUUGCAACUUCGUGUACUUCGUUUGUGUCCAAAGACCAGACCAAGACCGCUUAUGGAUCCCCACCUUUAUCAAUACUUCAUAUAUAUUUGCAAUAUUCAGAUUGUUUUUAUCAUACUCUUGCUUGUUCUUCGAUUGUUUGCAGGAAUAGACCUUCGUGGUCAGGUUGAUUGUGCUCCAGCAUGGUCAAUAAUCUCUCGGAGUUGGUUUAGCGAUUGCUAAGGCGCAACGUCGUGCAUGAUUGUAGUCGGAUCGUCAAAGUCAUCUUCACCAAAUCGAUAGUUAUCAUCUCAUCGAAAGAUUGGGACACCCCCGCCUCUAUCUAACUAUCGAUUUGGUGAAGAUGACUUUGACGAUCCGACUACAAUCGUGCACGACGUUGCGCCUUAGCAAUCGCUAAACCAACUCCGAGAGGUUAUUGACCAUGCUGGAGCACAAUCAACCUGACCACGAAGGUCUAUUCCUGCAAGCAAUCAAAGAACAAGCAAGAGUAUGAUAAAAGCAAUAUGAAUAUUGCAAAUAUAUAUGAAGUAUUGAUAAAGGUGGGGAUCCGUAAGCGGUCUUGGUCUGGUCUUUGGACACAAACGAAGUACACGAAGUUGCAAAGGCUAACUUUUAACUAAACAAAUCCCAAGGAAAAAGCUACUAGAUGGAUCUAUUUAUAUAGGAGCAAGGGGUGGCGGCCAAGGAGGUGGGAGAACAUCCCAAGGCAUCCUAAAACCAACCCUAGGUCGUACAAGUCUCAUGGGCCCAAGUGGAGGUGAUGCAACACCUUUGGACUUGUUGUUUGACUCGGAUUCUGCUGCGGCGUCUGAUUGUUUCGUCGAUAUCUCAACGCUCCGAACGAAUUUGAAGGUGAAUCCAAUUGGGCUGGAAAGAGCACAAAAUCUAGAUUCCACCAAAAAAAGAAUCACCCAAUUCGGAGUCCGUAUGAAAAAGUUAUUGGCGUUUUGAGUCAGGUAUGUCUGUGCAGUCCGAAUCUGAAUCCAGAACGUGAGAGACUUGGACUCUAUCUUCUCUUGGCCCAAAAGUGACGUGAGAGAACUUUUGAGCAGCAAGUAAACAUCGCUUUCUCUCUUAUCUUCAUAUGUGAAUUGUACAAAUGUCCUAUACACCUGCAAUUAGACAAAACACAAAAGUGUGUGAAGUAUUUUUGUUCUGGAUAACAUAAAUAGAUUAUUGAAUAGUUUGCACUAGAAAUCACCUGAUAAAUAUGCAUGUAUACAAUAUUUUUGAUCGUAUCCAAGGUAGUCAUGUCCUCAUCACGCCUAAACACCAAUUCAGCUAUCCAUGCUACUACAAAAUCUAAAAAAAAGAAACUGGACUCUCAGAACAUCGUCCUGGAACCUUGAACCAAGCAAGGAAAGAAGCAAAGCACUUUGUUUUUAUAGAUUCUAUAAAAAACACUUAAGGAUGGUGUAGCUAAGCGGAACAACAAAGAUAAAUAUUUUAAAAUGAUUGAACAAGCUUUCGGUGUCCAACUCCUGUUACCCAAGUGAAGUAAUUUUUUACCAUCCAGGUUGGUCGUUAAGUUAAUAAUAAAUCGAGUAUAGCUAUAUGAUAACAUUAUCACCUCUUAUUUCAAUUGGUGUGUGUACCUCAGGUCAGAUGCGUGCCUUUCAUUCCUCUGAUAGUUUUUUGUCCUGUUGAUUAGAAUUAGUCGCAGGCAUAGUUAAUAACUGAACUCUAGUGGCAGCGAGUUUGCUUGAAUGGCCUGGCCUAGUGGCUAGGCUGACUGGUGGUGUAAGUUUAGGAAUAAAUUCACUUCUUUAACAAAAUAGGAAAGGUGUGGUUUAUAGCAUGAGGAAUCAAUGCAAGAAAUUAAACUGCUUUCCAAGGAACCACUAUUUAGGACAAAAAUAACUGCAUCUAAGAAUUAUUAUCUGUACAUAGGUCACAAAAAAUAUGAAUCUGGUAACAGAAAUACCUUGCAAUAUCUGUAGUGCAUACUUCAAAUAACAAAUUUCUUCCUUAGUCAUGCAAGAAUGCACAAAGCUCUUUCGCUUGCCGAUGAGCAACCUUACUAACGGUCCUACAAAUCAAAAGAAAAUAUUGAUUUAAGGAGGAGAAAAAAACAGCAAAAACAUUUAGAUAUUGACAUAGACAUAGCUUGUGAUGAUUACGAAAUGAGAUACAAAUGGGAGCAGCCAACUAUUUGUUCUUACACUGAGCAGACCGCCUCAACACAUCGUCAAGACUACCUUACACCAAGUUAACAUGGAGAUAAAUGCUUAUUGACGGAAAGUGAAAUGUCCUGCGAGGAAUAGAAACAACAGGCUGAUUAUGUAAGAAAAGGCCAACAUGUCUGUUUAAAAAUAGACCAGAGAGUAGACAGAUCGUCCAUAUGCACU
rnacentral:lncRNA from 1 species